rnacentral:rRNA from 1 species
AUGGGAACGCGAAGAACCUUACCUAGACUUGACAUCUCCUGAAUAGUGUAGAGAUACAUGAAGCCCUUCGGGGCAGGAAGACAGGUGGUGCAUGGUUGUCGUCAGCUCGUGUCGUGAGAUGUUGGGUUAAGUCCCGCAACGAGCGCAACCCCUAUUAUUAGUUGCUAACAUUAAGUUGAGCACUCUAGUGAGACUGCCCGGGUUAACCGGGAGGAAGGUGGGGAUGACGUCAAAUCAUCAUGCCCCUUAUGUCUAGGGCUACACACGUGCUACAAUGGUGGGAACAAAGAGAUGCAAUACCGCAAGGUGGAGCUAAACUCAAAACCCCAUCCCAGUUCGGAUUGUAGGCUGAAACUCGCCUACAUGAAGCUGGAGUUGCUAGUAAUCGCGAAUCAGAGUGUCGCGGUGAAUACGUUCCCGGG